CCCCAGACUCCUACGGGAGGCAGCAGUGAGGAAUAUUGGUCAAUGGCCGCAGGGCUGAACCAGCCAAGUCGCGUGAGGGAUGACGGUCCUAUGGAUUGUAAACCUCUUUUGUCAGGGAGCAAUUGGGUCCACGCGUGGGCUUAGCGAGAGUACCUGAAGAAAAAGCAUCGGCUAACUCCGUGCCAGCAGCCGCGGUAAUACGGAGGAUGCGAGCGUUAUCCGGAUUUAUUGGGUUUAAAGGGUGCGUAGGCGGAAUAUCAAGUCAGCGGUAAAAAUUCGGGGCUCAACCCCGUCGUGCCGUUGAAACUGGCGUUCUUGAGUGAGCGAGAAGUAUGCGGAAUGCGUGGUGUAGCGGUGAAAUGCAUAGAUAUCACGCAGAACUCCGAUUGCGAAGGCAGCAUACCGGCGCUCAACUGACGCUCAUGCACGAAAGCGUGGGUAUCGAACAGGAUUAGAUACCCCCGUA
rnacentral:rRNA from 1 species